rnacentral:rRNA from 1 species
UACAGAGGUCUCAAGCGUUGUUCGGGAUUCAUUGGGCGUAAAGGGUGCGUAGGCGGCGCGGUAAGUCGGGUGUGAAAUCUCGGAGCUUAACUCCGAAACUGCAUUCGAUACUGCCGUGCUUGAGGACUGGAGAGGAGACUGGAAUUUACGGUGUAGCGGUGAAAUGCGUAGAUAUCGUAAGGAAGACCAGUGGCGAAGGCGGGUCUCUGGACAGUUCCU